AGUUAUUGUUCAUCAAUGUUACAAGUUCGAUAUUUGAAAUGGAUGUCAAAACAAGGAUUUACAUCAUUUCAAAUGAGUUUGUUGUGACAGGCGUACUUUUUUUUUGAAAAAUAAUGCAUAAUUGGCUAUGGAAAUAUAAACAGUUGAUGUGUCAAAACAUCGGUGUUGUGUGGGUUUUGGAUCGUCUCUGAUGUUCACCGAAUUAUUGGGAAUGGAAGGUUGUCAAAUGCAGGAGAUUCUGGAGGAGAGUUUAGCGGAUGGACGGAUUAGUGAAAUUAAGCCAAAGGCUAUGUAUUCAAAUGGGAGAGAAUAGGUGCGCCAUAUUAUGUUACAAAUUAAACCACACCUAGCCAAGCGAAGCGAUCGCCGAGAGAACGAACACGUUACGCGCUUCCUACUGACUUCUCCGAACUGGAAAUCAGAAUAUCGUGGCGACACCUAUCGGUUGUCGGGAGGAUUCGAGUCUCCCCCAUCGCAACCCCACGACCCUCUUCAGACCCUGUUGUUUGCCCAUUCAAAAUGUAGGGGGACGAAAGCACGCU